rnacentral:misc_RNA from 1 species
GAUGAAGAACGUAGCGAAAUGCGAUAAGUAAUGUGAAUUGCAGAAUUCAGUGAAUCAUCGAAUCUUUGAACGCACAUUGCGCCUGCCAGUAUUCUGGCGGGCAUGCCUGUUCGAGCGUCAUUACAACCCUCAGGCCCCCGGGCCUGGCGUUGGGGAUCGGCGGAGCCCCCCGUGGGCACACGCCGUCCCCCAAAUGCAGUGGCGGUCCCGCCGCAGCUUCCAUCGCGUAGUAGCUAACACCUCGCGACUGGAGAGCGGCGCGGCACGCCGUAAAACACCCAACUCUUCUGAAGUUGACCUCGAAUCAGGUAGGAAUACCCGCUGAACUUAAGCAUAUCAAUAAGCGGAGGA